UAAGAGGCGAAGAAUGAUACUAAGAAAGUUAAGGGUAGGAGGGUCGAUUGUUGGAUCAAGAAAAAAGAAGAAAUAAUGGAGAUAGAAUAUGAGGUGAACAAAAUUUCAUGAUAUAUCCCAAUAUUUUGAUUUUUAAAAUAUUGCGAUAUAUGGUGUGUGAAUUUGUGAUACAAGUAGCAAAAUUUCUAUGAAUAAAAUAAAAAACAAAAAUUGGUAUUUUUGAAUUUCUUAUUGAGGCAAAUAAAAAUAUUAAAAAUAUAUUGUUCUCUUCUUUCUAGCGGUAGGAUUGGUUUAGGGUUCAUCGGUAAACAGUGUUUUCCAAUCUGAUUUUGGGGUGUUAGUUCAUAUGGGAGAGAGGGUUUAGGAUUAAUUUUUGUCGAAACUUCAAUGACGGAUGAAUUGGAGUUAACGUGCCACGCGUGCGGUAAUGUGGGUUUCUCCGACGGCUCCGACGGCUUCUUCUACUGUCUCCGUUGCGGCUCUCAAGCAGAAGACAUCAUUGACACCGCCAUAAACGAGGAAGACUUAGUUAACAAAGGCGACGCCGGCGGCGGCGGCGGCAUCUACUUGGCCAGUCACCGCCGCCCCCGUCCCGCCACCGUCAUCAAAGUCGAGCCUCUCUCUCAGUCCCAGCCGCAGUCCCAAUUCUGGGAAUCGAUCAAAGCCCUAGAAAACGAGGUGAAGAAAGAGGAGGCCGAGGCCGUGGCCGAGGCCAGCGAUGGCGUGGGACCGACCGGGCCGAGUGAUUUUGGAUCGACUUCGAGGUUACUUAGUUACGAUGAUUACUAUUCGGAGAUCAGGAUGAGGUAUGUGAUGGGGCUUCAGAUUAUGAUUGAGCUACAGUGCAAGGCCUUGGUGGAGAAAUUUCGGGUCAGCCCGGUGAUUUGUGGGUUGGCGGGGACCAUUUGGCUGCGGUUCGUGGCGUCAACUCGAGUCUUUCAUGAUGACUGGGCUGAUGAGGCCAUUCAUGAAUCAGAAUCUCAGCAACAAGGUAGGCGGCAGGCAGAUGAGUUUGAGCCUCAUGCUAAAUACAAUGCAGAGCCUCACAAUAUACAUGGUCAGCGAGCAGUAAUGAUAUGGUAUAGAUCAUUGGCCAAGAAAAUACCCUUAUCUCAUACUCUGACAGUAGCUUUUCUGGUUUGUCAUCUUGCAAGGGAGGCAGUGCUGCCACCUGAUAUUAUAAAAUGGUCUCUUGAAGGAAAGCUUCCUUAUUUUGCUGCUUUUGUAGAAAUUGAGAAACAAAUUGGGCCUCCCUCAGGUGCAUGUCCAUUAAGUUCAACGCUUAUGUUUAAGCCUUCAGAUUCUGUUCCUUUACAGAAGUUGGAGUCACAGGCAGCAUCUAUUGCUAAAGAAAUAGGCCUGGAAUUGCCUCCUGUCAAUUUCUAUGCUAUAGCUGGUCGCUAUAUAGCAAUGUUAUCACUCCCUGUGGAAAAAAUUCUUCCAACUGUAUGCCAGAUAUAUGAAUGGUCCUUGCCUCCUGAGUUGUGGCUCUCAGAAAAUGAGUUUAGAUUUCCUACACGUGUUUGUGUAAUGUCAAUGGUGAUUGUAGCAGUAAGGAUUCUGUAUAAUAUAAAUGGUUUUGGUUAUUGGGAAAAAAGUUUAUCUGGUUCAAUUGGAUCUUUUAGUGGGCAUGGUCCAAAGGAACAGUCAUACAAUACUGUCAUGAGAGAUGAUGCCGAACAGGGCUUGCCCUCUCCUAGUUUAAAUGAUAUUGGCAUACACUCCUCCAAAACCCCAUCAAAUAUUGAGGAAACUGAGUUGGAUGCUGUGAAGCUGUUGUAUAACCUUGAAGCACGAUGUGCUGCGCUUGAAGAAACAUAUGAUUAUUCCGAAGAUUUGCCUACCUAUCUACAAUACUGCAAGGAUGUGGUAUUUGCUGGAUUAGAACCAUCAUUCGGCGAUCUUGAGGAAGAGAAGAUAAUUGAGGAGUUGUUGAAUUUUUAUCAGGAUCAAAUGGUGAUGAAUGCAGAUUCAAGAACUUCAGAUGAUCAGGCUGUGAAAUCUAGAGAUGAUGUUACGAGCUCGGCCAAGAAAAGACAAAAUAUUAUAGAUGACAGCCUUACAUACAGUCCAUCCACUGAUGUUAGAUCCCCUCAUACUGAUGAUAGUUGGAGACAGAGCACGAGUAUUGAUGAUUGCACGCCAAGUGGUAGUGUUUCAAUACCUGCUGGUCAGACUUGCACAGUGUCUCCUAAAGAUAAAGCCAUUAGACGAAUGAAGUCAAACAUGGAGGAAAAUAGGUUUUGUUAUAUUCCCCCAAGGGUCAAAGUCAAGAGAUUGGAUUACCUUCACUAUGUGAGGAAGAAAGAUGAAGGUGGUUACACUUAUGCUGCCCAUGCUGACUACUAUAUCUUGCUUCGUUCUUGUGCUCGUGUAGCACGAGUUGACAUUAGGAUUAUGCAUGCUGGAGUAUUGGGCUUCGAAAGGAGAUUGGGUUGGCUCGAAAAGAGAGUUGAUCAUUGCUUAAAUUUGAGACCUCAAAAUGAUUCUUGUGAGUUUGUCUGUGAAGACAUACAACACAAUACAACAGAUGACUCCAUUAAGGUCUUAAACUUGAAUUUGUGAAUCAAUUUAUUUCAUCUUUGCCCUUCUUAUGGAAGGAGUUCCUUUUGUAGUGGCAAAAUGUUUAUUCAAAAGGAAUAUGUGCAGUUGAGUGCCGACAGAAUGACUAUUUAUUUAGUUUUCCUGACAUGCAACUAUAACUGUCUAUGAUUAUCCAUCUCUUUGUUUUUUCUAUAUCUCCACAUAUAUGUGCUCGGUUGAUUCUAAUCUUUGUUUGUGCCAAAUUGUCUGCCAGUUAACAUUGAUAUAUAAAGGAAAUUACUCCCCAAUCCCAUCUUAACAGUUCACUCAAAGCCAUUUGGCUGCAGUGAUUUAUUUCUGUUCUUGGUUGCGUACUUGGUGCUGCAUAUGCAUAUAUGGAAAAUCCUGCAUGAGUGUGCAACUGGUUUCCCCUUUACUGGGUGAGUACUACAAAUUGAGUCCUGAUUCUAGAUCUUCGACCAACUAGUACAAUGAGCUGAUGAGACUGCCGAGUUAAGGUUUAGUUUACAUGGAUUAAUAAAGACUGGGAAAGGGUUGAAUUUGGAAAGAUUAGCUAAGACAUUUUGUUCAAGAGAAUGUUUAUACAACAUUCAUUUGCCAUGUUAUUAUCUUUUCCAUAGUCUGAUGGUAUUGGAGGGUGAAUGGAAUUGUUCAGGUUGUCAUUCCAUUAAGAGAUAUGUAGCCAGGUGGUGAAGAUGUGAAACUUACAAAUAGUCUUACACAGAAAUUUUGGAGUCAAUUUGUGCCAGGGCUCUCUUUUCAUGCAGUGAAUUGAAAGCUGAAGACUUUCUUGAGGCACUUGGGACAGUGGAAUUCAUAAUCUCUCAGAAGUUUGAGUAGGCAGAUCUUUUAAGUCCAGAAAAAGCUUAAUAUCACGUGAGAGUAAUUUUUUUGGAGUGAUCAUGGCUAGUUAUGGACUUGCAGAAGGAGCUGGAUGAGGUGUUGGCUAAACAAAUUUCCGGUGUCCUUUUGCUAAUGUUGGCACAGGGUGAACACGGCUACAAUUUUAAAGUUAACAAGAGGAGUAUUUGUUUGACAGCGGGUGGAUCAAGGAGUUGGGUGAAUUAAUCUGAACUCAUUCUUGGGUUUGAAGUUAUUUAAUGGAAGCCAAGGUGUGGAUUGAAAGAAAUUGGAUUGGCUGAUGAUAUGCAGCGGGCAUAAAUGCAAGAUCAAGACGAGCAGCCUCAGGAAGGGGCUACUGGUGUUGUUUGCCAGAGGAAGGUUAUGAGGAUUCCUCGCCAAUACCUCCACUAGCAGGUGGUCUGAGCUGGUGGAGUAACCAAGUGGCUGAGCUGACAUCAUAACUGUGUAGCUGAGCUGGAUGCAAGUGGCUGAGCUAUGGGAGAAUAAAUGUAAUGAUUAGAUGAAUAGCUUAGAGUUUGUUGUUGCAAGUUAGUUACAAGCAAGUUAUUUGUUGUGGCAUGCACUCUGUAACUACCAGCAUAAAUACUGCUAGAUUUGCAUUGAGGGUAUAAUGAAAAAUCAUAUAUUCUUCUUCUCUUAAUUCUUCUCUAUCCCAUUCUCUCUUCUGUAACUUUUGUCUGGAAAGGGGAUCACUGCCUUAUUUCAGUGGGAAAACUCAUAUCAUCUGACCAAUAUCUGUUGGAGAAGUUUGAUUUGCUGAAAACAAAUUAGAAGGAAGCAUGGCGCAGUAGACUUUUUACAGGAAAGGAAGCAGAAGCUCUCUUCCAGAUAUAUGGACUUCUGCUCCUGAAUUGGAUGGUUUCUAUGCCACUGUCUAUCAGGAAAUUAGUGAUUUAUAGCUUGAGGAGAUGGAAAAUCUGCAAAAGAAACCAAGCCACCCUUGAGCCUUUUUUGCAAUCUGAAAGCGUCAGACAGUCUGCAACACCUGGACAGUUGCUUAUGUGUAUUGAUGCAGCAUGAAAGAGGAGCUACUUCCCAUCUGCAGUGGCCUGGUUGGUUGAUGGAUGGCCAGUUGAGCAAGCGCUUUUUCCUUUCUGUGGUUUUUCCAUUUAUUGGAGAAGAGAGGCCUGUAUUGGAAGCAUCUGACCCUUUACUAGCUGUGGCUUCUGAAGAUUGAUUGGGCUGGUCUUGAGUUUGCACUUGACGGGGUUAUUGUUAAGGCAAUGGCGGAUCGAUCUUGGAUUGAUUAAUACUGCAACGGGCUUUCUUUACUGGUUUGAGUCUUUGGCUAUGCAUAGUCUCUGUUGUUAAUCCUCUUGAAAGAAAAAAGCAAAUUAAUCAAUCAACUCACUCAAGGAAGCAGCGAACGUAUAUUUUGCUGUGUUGUGCCCUUCUCUGAUGUUACAUGCUGUUUCCUCUUGUAUUGCCAACUUUCUUGCUGCCCUCAGUUUAGACUCCCUUGUUAAAGAGCCUUCAGCAUAUCAAGACCUAUUGUGAAUGGGAUCUGAUCCUUUUCGAACUCUGCGUUUGCUUGAUUGGUUGGGAUCAAAUGUCUUGUUCAUGAAUGCCUGUUUCUUCUCUUUGUUCAUUGCCUGCGUUUCAACAACCUUAAGUGUGCGUUGAUACUUCAGUAUCGGCUCAUAAUCUUCUUUCUUCCUUCUUAGAGCAAGGUCUAUACUUCUCAGGCUAGAACCUUUAGCAGGUUUAACUGAGAAGAGGACUAUGCAGACAAGAAGGAUAGACAACCUUUGAGCACUAAAGACCAUGGUUGCUGUGCAAACAAGAAGAUAAGAGAAUAAGCUAGUCUGAGAUUGUGAUCCUUGCACUCUUGUUAUCCAUUCCUGUAGAUGUGAGCUUGCAAUUUAUCUCCUAUGGGAUUUAAAGCAGAAAACAUGGAGGGCCCCAAAAUACCUAGAGGGGGGAAUUUUAGAUUCAUUCCAAUCAUAAGCCUGCCAUCUAAGCAAAAUUAAGGCUGUUAUUGGAGAAUCUGACUAGGAUAAGUAAAGGUGUUGGAAGAACACCCUUGAGAAGCUAAGCAUCUUUUUCAUUUGUUCCCCUAGAUCUCUACCAGUUGCCCUGCUUUUGUCUGUCAACAAAGACCAACCCAGUAUCUUGGACUCAGCCACUUUACCACGCCAAUUCACUGUGCUUAUGGUUUGUUUUACAUACAUAUGCAAGUUUAUUAAUCCAGGGGCUUGCUGGUAAAAUACUAUUCCUUAGUUAUGAAGGAAGUUUUUGAAGUGAAGGUGACUGGGCAGACAGGCUAUUACCCAGCCAAAACUAUAAAGGCAAGCUAGUCAUAAAGGACAGAAUGGAAAGGGAUGGAAGAAUAGAACGCUACCCAAAAAAACAAACACUUGCUUUAUGCUAUUGAAGAUCUUUAGAAUUCCAAGCUCUCUUCUCCAUGCAACAAAAAAUAACAAUCCUGGUUUCUUGUGCUAAAUGUGUUUCUUUGCUCUUUUUUGGCUGUCUAAUUCACAAUUCCAUUUUAAAGAAGACUGCUUCAAACCAAUCCCCCAUUGUCCUUGUAGAAUUUUGUAUUGUUUAUACAUGGGACCAUUUUGAGGGUGAGCCUUACUAAAAAUGGUAAAGUUGCUCAUUUGUAAAUGAAGAUUGCAGAUUCCAGUUGUGAAAAUGAUCUCUUUACAAAGCAAGGACAAGAUUGAGAAAACAACCAUCCCACAACCCUUGCAAACAAGAAGCCUCGAAAUUUCUAAAUCGGCUUCUGAAAAGCACGCAAAUAAGCAAUCAAAUCUAUGUAGUACUCAGGGAUUUGUU